UACGGGAGGCAGCAGUGGGGAAUUUUCCGCAAUGGGCGAAAGCCUGACGGAGCAACGCCGCGUGAGGGAUGAAGGCCUCUGGGCUGUAAACCUCUUUUAUCAAGGAAGAAGAUCUGACGGUACUUGAUGAAUAAGCCACGGCUAAUUCCGUGCCAGCAGCCGCGGUAAUACGGGAGUGGCAAGCGUUAUCCGGAAUUAUUGGGCGUAAAGCGUCCGCAGGCGGCCCUUCAAGUCUGCUGUUAAAAAGUGGAGCUUAACUCCAUCAUGGCAGUGGAAACUGUUGGGCUUGAGUGUGGUAGGGGCAGAGGGAAUUCCCGGUGUAGCGGUGAAAUGCGUAGAUAUCGGGAAGAACACCAGUGGCGAAGGCGCUCUGCUGGGCCAUCACUGACGCUCAUGGACGAAAGCCAGGGGAGCGAAAGGGAUUAGAUACCCCUGUAGUCCUGGCCGUAAACGAUGAACACUAGGUGUCGGGGGAAUCGACCCCCUCGGUGUCGUAGCCAACGCGUUAAUGUUCCGCCUGGGGAGACGCACGCAAUUG
rnacentral:rRNA from 1 species